UACGAAGGGGGCUAGCGUUGUUCGGAAUUACUGGGCGUAAAGCGCGCGCAGGCGGUCUUCCAAGUCAGUGGUGAAAGCCCGGAGCUCAACUCCGGAACUGCCAUUGAAACUGUAAGACUUGAGGAUGAGAGAGGUGAGUGGAAUUCCCAGUGUAGAGGUGAAAUUCGUAGAUAUUGGGAAGAACACCGGUGGCGAAGGCGGCCUUCUGGACGAUGACUGACGCUGAGACGCGAAAGCGUGGGGAGCAAACAGG
rnacentral:rRNA from 1 species